AGGUGUGAUCAUACCAACGUUAAUGCAUCGGAUCCCAUCAGAAAUCCGCAGUUAAGCAUGCUUGGGCUAGAGUAGUACUGAGAUGGGUGACCUCCCGAAAAGUCCUAUUGUUUCACCCU
rnacentral:rRNA from 1 species